rnacentral:rRNA from 1 species
UUAAAGAGUUCUAUAACUCCCAAACCCAUGUGAACAUACCUAACGUUGCCUCGGCAGGUCGCACCUACCUUGUAGCACCCUACCCUGUAGGGCCUACCCGGGAGAUGCGGGUAAGCCUGCCGGCGGCCCACCAAACUCUGUUUAAUAUUGAAUUCUGAACAUAUAACUAAAUAAGUUAAAACUUUCAACAACGGAUCUCUUGGUUCUGGCAUCGAUGAAGAACGCAGCGAAAUGCGAUAAGUAAUGUGAAUUGCAGAAUUCAGUGAAUCAUCGAAUCUUUGAACGCAUAUUGCGCCCAUUAGUAUUCUAGUGGGCAGGACCGUUCGAGCGUCAUUUCGACCCUUAAGCCUUAGUUGCUUAGUGUUGGGAGCCUACGGCAACGUAGCUCCUCAAAGUUAGUGGCGGAGUUGGUUCACACUCUAGACGUAGUAAUUUUUUAUCUCGCCUAUUAGUUGGACUGAUCCCCUGCCGUAAAACCCCCAACUUAUCAAGGUUGACCUCGAAUCGGUUCAGACAAACUCGCUAAAUUGAAGCAUCUUAGUCAGCGAAGGAAAAGAAACCAACAGGGAUUGCCCUAGUAACGGCGAGUGAAGCGGCAACAGCU